UACGGGGGGGGCAAGCGUUGUUCGGAAUUACUGGGCGUAAAGGGCUCGUAGGCGGCCAACUAAGUCAUACGUGAAAUCCCUCGGCUUAACCGGGGAACUGCGUCUGAUACUGGAUGGCUUGAGUUCGGGAGAGGCUCGCGGAAUUCCAGGUGUAGCGGUGAAAUGCGUAGAUAUCUGGAGGAACACCGGUGGCGAAGGCGGCAUCCUGGACCAACACUGACGCUGAGGAGCGAAAGCCAGGGGAGCAAACGGG
rnacentral:rRNA from 1 species